rnacentral:misc_RNA from 1 species
AUGAGAACUUGCCCUUCGGGGUAGAUCUCCCACCCUUUGUGAACCAUUCCUUUGUUGCUUUGGCAGGCCCGUCCCCGGACCGCCGGCUUCGGCUGGCCAGCGCCUGCCAGAGGAUUUUCAAAACCUUCUGUUAGUGUUGUCUGAGUAUAAAUCAAAUCGUUA